rnacentral:rRNA from 1 species
UACGGGGGGGGCAAGCGUUUGUUCGGAAUUACUGGGCGUAAAGGGCUCGUAGGCGGCCAACUAAGUCAGACGUGAAAUCCCUCGGCUUAACCGGGGAACUGCGUCUGAUACUGGAUGGCUUGAGUUUGGGAGAGGGAUGCGGAAUUCCUGGUGUAGCGGUGAAAUGCGCAGAUAUCAGGAGGAACACCGGUGGCGAAGGCGGGUCUCUGGGCCGAUACUGACGCUGAGGAGCGAAAGCGUGGGGAGCGAACAGG